rnacentral:piRNA from 1 species
UGGUUUUUUGAAAGUGAGCUAUCUCAAGCC